GGAUGUGAGGGCGAUCUGGCUGCGACAUCUGUUCCCCCAUUGAUCUCCAGGGUUGAUUCGGCUGAUCUGGCUGGCUGACCUUCCUCCCUCACCGCUCCAUGUAUAUCCCUCCUGAAGCUAUGUGCUCUGAUCCGUUGAAGAGGACGACCCCCAUCCCGAUAGAGGAGGACCGUUUCCUAGGUCAAAGGUAUACAAGCAGCUGCGUUCUCUUAUUAAAACCUCCAAACAAGCUCUCAAGGUCCAAAAAAACAAGUAAAGAUGGAGAAACUGUCACAGACCAGAAGAAACUAACUAAAUAUGAU
rnacentral:snRNA from 1 species